ACAGAAAAUACAGUGGAAGGAUUUGGAAAGGACUGUCACCUCUGCCUAGUACUGCACUGUGGCUGAGAGAGCUGGUGAGUUUAACACCAAUUAAAACAAGAAGAAGGAUGCUAAUGUUACCUUUGAUUUACCACUCUUUGCUGUUUUAAUUCAAUGAGAAGCUCAAUCUCUACACCUGAAAGAAUCUCCAACGGAAAAGCACAUACAAAAAAAGAUAUAUAUAGCCAUAAUGGAAAACAGUAUGGAGGUUGCUCAAAAAGUUAAGAAUGAACUAUCAUAUGAUCCAGCAAUCCUACUUCUAGGUUCUCAAGAUCUGUGGGGACAUAAAAUUAUGAUGCUUGUCUGGAGGCAGAGAAGAUGAAGAGGGCACAGACCAAUCUUAUAUAAUGAAUACUGCCUGCUGAAGUUCUCCAUUUGCUCUCAGGCCACAGCUGGGCAUUUGGGAAGAUGCGGAAGCAAAAGUCAGAGGUGCACCACCACACACACCUACACCUAUUUCUCUCGCUCAGCGUAAGGACUCCAGUUUACUUGAUCUUAAACAAGAAACCUGGUUAGCAUGUUCACCUUGACACUGUCUUGGUAAACACUUAGUUCUAUUUCCAAAUUCGGUCAAGUCUUCCUUCAUGGACUUGGUUCAUUCCUUACCUAGACUGUUAUCUCAGGUCUUUGUGUCUUGUCAUUCUUCUUAACACAUCUGUCAAAGUUAUCUUCCCUGUUUUCUGCUUUGAACUAAUAAACUACAAGGAAAGUAUCCUUGUUCUUUAGCA
rnacentral:lncRNA from 1 species